ACACAUUUUGAAUAAAUGUUGUGUUGGUGGUUUAUUCCCGUCUUUGUUUGCGACCAUUAGCCCGGCGGUUGUAAACAAAACAUUUGGUCACCGCAGACGAAGUGUCUUCGCUCCAGAGUUCAUCCAGACACCUCUAAUGGGGAAAAUUGACAUUUCUUCUUUGUUUUUUCUUCUAAUUCCCUCUGAGUGCGACCGACAUGAAGAGACGCCUGGCUGGAGGAUGAUGUCAUUUGUUGAUAAGGCUACGAGCCCCCAGCUCCCUCCAGCAUCCAGUGGGGGCCAUGUCACUGGUUUUGUCUCGACUUAUCCACCCAUUUACCGUCACAGCCUUAUCAAACCACGGAGACGUACAGAGAAAUGAAGAAACCGUCCGCAGAUCUGAUUUUCUUCGAUUAGAAACAGAACCCAUAAACCAGAUGAAUUCCCAACGGCGACACAUGUUCCCAGCGGGAAUCCCGUUGUGCCGACGCCGCCGACACUUCCAAAAGUCUCAACUUCCUGCUUUAUUCGUCAAGAUUCUCACUGAAGGUUGUGAGAGCUUUUUGACAAAGAAGGACAGUGAUCCACUCUAGCCGAUGAACUGGCCUCCACAGUCGGAUGGAGCUGAACCCCAAUGAGAAGUUUUGGGGUGAGCUGGAUGGCAGAGGGAAGGCAAAGGGGUCAACAAGUGCUAAACACCUCUGAGAACUAUAUAUAUAUUAC